GAUGAACGCUGGCGGCGUGCCUAAUACAUACAAGUCGAGCGAACGGACGAGAAGCUUGCUUCUCUGAUGUUAGCGGCGGACGGGUGAGUAACACGUGGAUAACCUACCUAUAAGACUGGGAUAACUUCGGGAAACCGGAGCUAAUACCGGAUGAUAUUUUGAACCGCAUGGUUCAAAAGUGAAAGACGGUCUUGCUGUCACCUAUAGAUGGAUCCGCGCUGCAUUAGCUAGUUGGUAAGGUAACGGCUUACCAAGGCAACGAUGCAUAGCCGACCUGAGAGGGUGAUCGGCCACACUGGAACUGAGACACGGUCCAGACUCCUACGGGAGGCAGCAGUAGGGAUUCUUCCGCAAUGGGCGAAAGCCUGACGGAGCAACGCCGCGUGAGUGAUGAAGGUCUUCGGAUCGUAAAACUCUGUUAUUAGGGAAGAACAUAUGUGUAAGUAACUGUGCACAUCUUGACGGUACCUAAUCAGAAAGCCACGGCUAACUACGUG
rnacentral:rRNA from 1 species